GUGACCCCAUGUGUUUAGGUAUGAUUCUGGUCCUCUCUGUGAUUUCUUACUCUUGUGCAUGUAGUUGACCAUGUAGCCUCUCCACAUGCCCAUUGCUGGGCUGGAGUAUCCAGUUUUGUGUCAACAUAAUUUAUAACGUUUAGUAAUAUCACUGUUGUUGUUGCGGUUUGUAUUCAAGUCGAAGGAGUUUUAUUGAAGCUGUGGGUUUUAUUUUGUUGUUUUUCUACCACCAAUCAAUCAGAUAAGAAGAGUUGUUGCUACAAUUCGGUGAAGUUGAUGAAAUUUUUUGGGUGAUUUCUGGUAGUACUGGAAUCGUGCCAUUGCAGGUACUAGUUGAUAUUCUCAGCAUUUAACAUGCUAGUCAAGCUGGACUGCGUGUUUGAAUGCAUCUAGAGGUGCAGCGAGGCAAGCCAACGGUGAAGCGCGGGCAAGGCAGACGCACCAAACGACGACAUUGUAGAACUGUGUUGCCGGCUAGCUCAGGCGGAGCCGCUGCCGUGCUGGCCUAGGACCGGUUGGGUAAUUGUGUUGGUGCUGUCAUAUUCAUCAUCCAGAGGUGGUAGUAGCCCGAUGAAUUGUGUGUGUAAUAAUAAUAUUCAUUCAUGCUCCGGAUGGCAGAGCAGAGUUUGUUGUACUGUAA